rnacentral:tRNA from 1 species
UCGCCCUUAGCUCAGCUGGAUGGAGCACCGGCCUUCUAAGCCGUAGGCCGCACGUUUGAAUCGUAUAGAUGUAGGGCGGGCCG